rnacentral:lncRNA from 1 species
UUUCUAUAGGUCAACUCUUCUCCAGCCAGAGGACUCUUCUUUAGUGGGAAGGAUAGCAAUUUCUGAGGAUCCUGCUUUGUGGUGAGGCUAACAAUGAUAAGACAUGAGCUCUGCCUUUGAAAUCAGUUGGACAACUUUUCAACAGUGAAAGUGUGGAAGGACUAAAUAUCACAUCACAUCAGUGCAGGUCUUUCUCCGUGGUAGCCUCACAUUGCCAGAAGAUUGCUUUCAACGGGUCUGCCCUUGGAAAUCAUCAUCUUCCCCCUAACCUGAGUGUGUCUUUACUCUGUCCCUACCAUUGAUAGAGGCUGUAUGUCAAAAAAGGGAAUUUUGUAACGACUAAACUGACAGUUGUCUUUGACUCUUUCUGCCAAGUUUAUCUCUUACCAAUUUAAAACGUAUAAAGAUACCAGCCUGGAACAAACAUAACUAAGGACAGGACUGGACAGGUA